CUAUGCCCCUGGCAUGGCCUAUGAGGGCUUGGGACUGCAAGGUCUGUUAGUGAGUGUGCUGGUGAGUUUAGUUCAUCUGGAAACAGCAGAAGAACAGACUCGUGUGCAGCGCUGUGUGUUUCCUGUGAGAGAGUUAUUGGUGUGUCUGCCUGAUG